rnacentral:lncRNA from 1 species
AAGAGAUUUGGCCAUAAAUAUAAACUUGUUGGCCAAGAAUAUAAGUUCCGGAUCUGAUGUAUUCUCUAUUCACAUAAUUAUCUUGUUUCCUUGUUUGCCGCUGGGUGGGAUUCAAUAUAAUCUCCUCUAGGUUGGAAACUAGCAGCAGCAGCCGCCAAUUCUUUGAAUCUUCUGAGCUUGUGUCAGUAAUUUUUUUUUUUGGAGUUUUGAAUUUGUAAUUCUCGUGUUUUUUUUUGAGAAAUCAGUGUGAUUGGGGGAUAUUUGGGAGGAAAAUCAUUGGAAUUCUAGUUUUAUUAAUUUGAUUUAUUGUACUUGACAGGUGGUUUGUUUGGUGAAUUAAUUGUUCUCUACUGCUUCCUGAUUUGAGAUUGUGUUUUUAAUGGAGCAAAGAGAGGGAGGGGAAAAUCAGCCGCCGCCUCAAUCGGAAGCUUCUUCAACGGCGGCAGCGGUUUUCCUGGCGAGUAACCUUGUGAGGCCGAUGGAUUUGACUGGGUCUAGUGGUGGUGGUGGUGGUG